AUUGAACGCUGGCGGCAUGCCUUACACAUGCAAGUCGAACGGCAGCACGGGAGCAAUCCUGGUGGCGAGUGGCGAACGGGUGAGUAAUAUAUCGGAACGUGCCCAGUAGUGGGGGACAACCAGUCGAAAGAUUGGCUAAUACCGCAUACGCACUAAGGUGGAAAGCGGGGGAUCGCAAGACCUCGCGCUACUGGAGCGGCCGAUAUCAGAUUAGGUAGUUGGUGGGGUAAAGGCUCACCAAGCCGAGGAUCUGUAGCUGGUCUGAGAGGACGACCAGCCACACUGGGACUGAGACACGGCCCAGACUCCUACGGGAGGCAGCAGUGGGGAAUUUUGGGCAAUGGGCGCAAGCCUGAUCCAGCCAUGCCGCGUGUGGGAAGAAGGCCUUCGGGUUGUAAACCACUUUUGUCAGGGAAGAAACGGUUUGGGCUAAUACCUCAAACUAAUGACGGUACCUGAAGAAUAAGCACCGGCUAACUACGUGCCAGCCGCCGCAGUAA
rnacentral:rRNA from 1 species